rnacentral:rRNA from 1 species
UACAGAGGUCCCAAGCGUUGUUCGGAUUCACUGGGCGUAAAGGGUGCGUAGGUGGUGGAGUAAGUCGGAUGUGAAAUCUCGGAGCUCAACUCCGAAACGGCAUUGGAAACUACUCCGCUAGAGGGUCGGAGGGGGGACUGGAAUUCUCGGUGUAGCAGUGAAAUGCGUAGAUAUCGAGAGGAACACCAGUGGCGAAGGCGAGUCCCUGGACGACUCCUGACACUGAGGCACGAAAGCUAGGGGAG